GUAAAGAAUGAAAGAACUAGUGAAGACUGGAGAUAGGGCAGAGUAUUUCUCUUCCAUGGAGGUUUGUUUGUUGGUUUUUUUUUUUUUUUGAUGCUGCUGCUUAGAUCACUUAAUGUUCUUCUGCUAUUGGUUGCAAUCCUUGUACAUGAGUCCUUUUAAGACACCAACAUGUGAUUUUGUUUUGGAACCUCUACUGGCUUUUGAUAAGCAAAUAUCAUUACAGAUGCUGUCAUUGGCAAAUCAUGGCACAUCUUCCUAUGCAGUUCUUUCAGAGCAUAUCAGUCUAUCACCAAUAUUAGACUACAGAAGCUUUGCUGCUGUGACAAAUUUUAAAUUAAAUUUUUAAAAGCGCAGAAAGAUAAUGAUUUCCAAUAAAUACUGUGAAAUUCACUUCCUAUGGUAGUAAAAGACACACAAGUUACAACACACUAAAAUUUAUACAUUUGCUGCGAUUCACCUUUAAGGAACGCAAGAGGAAAGAGGAUUCAUAGCUCUGUUUGAAGUCUGACAUGUCUGGGAGAUUUGCUUGUGUAUGUCGUUUUCCUGCAGUAAACCAAUCUACUGGACAAGGAUGGGAAUAUUCUGCCUUUGAUAGCAGGGGUGAUGAAGAUACCUUGGGGGAACUUUACACCUGGCAGCUGCAUUUAGAAGUAGCAGACCCCACCUUUCAAAGAGAAAGAAAGACCAUCUUUAAGAGACCUAACAUCAUAUUUAAGACCCUCACCAGGCUUGUUUUGCUUGCCUUUUGGCCUUUUUUCCUCCAUGGGAAAGGAAUAUCUCUUUUGACAGAAAGCUCCUCAACAAGCCUGAAUGAGAAAGCUAGUUCCUACAGAAAAAAAAAAAAGCUAUCAGCUAGAUUCUGGCUCUUGUGGAAGCUUUGUUAUUGACUUCAGCUGGGCCAGGUUUUCAGUCCUUGCCUGUGUCAAGUUUGGCAGGGAUUACUGGCAUGAAACUGAUCCUGAGGGAAGAAAUCAGACUGCUUUUCUACACAAAUGCCCGAAUGUUCAAUGUGUACGUAGAAAACUGGAAGGAUCAUAAAAAAGGCUAAUCUUUUAGACGUGCUUAGCAGGCCUGGUGAUGCUCCCACCGAGGCUGUGGGAGCUGACUUGAGGAGCAAGCAUGUUAUGCCAACAUGAGCACUUCACCUCUGUCCCUUGUCAGGUUUCCUUUACAGCCAUCACAGGGCAGCUAUUUCUUCACUGAAAGGCUCCAAAUGAAAGGAACCAGAGUGGCCCAGGAGAGAUUUAAGCUGGUCACUGCAAAUUGAUUCACUCAAGUGUCUCUGGUGUGAGGAUGUGCUACUUCUUAAGCAGCAAGAGACAGGGAAAUGAAAUGAAGAGGUUGUAAGGCUGCUCUCAGGAGAAUGGCAAGCUAACAAGAGCAGAUUGGUGUUAAUUUAGCUGAGAAAAGAAGCCUCUUUUAGUGCUUGAGGAUUUGAGACUCUAGCAACAAGUUGGUGAGAUAGUCAUGGGAAAAGAGUGGGAGGGAGAACGCUUUUUCUUAAGCGAUUGCAGAAGUGUGGAAGUAGGUUAUGGUAGGCUAGGGAACGGGAAGAAAAAUACACAGGAAAAAGGCAAAUAUAAAAAGGGGGAGAGCAAAAACCGGAGAGAAUGACCUGCUCUUUGCUUCUCCUGAAGCAUCUCCGUUGGGAGAGUAGGCAGGAAAUCACUGUUCUACUCCACAAAAUUAAAAAACAAAACGCAAACAAAAAAGAACAUAAGAAUACUCUUGCUCUGUAGCAGGACAGAUCCCAAAGCCUCUCUUUCAAUCGGGUUAUACUGUUAAUGCAGAAGCACAGUAUGGCUUUGUAGAAGCAUUUAUUCUUACCAGAUAAAACUGGAGCAUGGUGGCAGGAGCAAGCUAUAAUUUUGUCUUUAUAUCAGACUUGACAAACAUGACCUCUAGCCAUGAUUCCACGUACACUGAGAAGUUAGCACUGCCACUGGAAAAAGCAGUUCCUUGUCAUGUGCUCCCUAGUUCUCCUACCUAGUCCAGUGCAAAGCCCCUAAAUGGCCAAGCCAACAUAGGCUUGAAAGUGUAACAAGUGUAAAUGAGGAAGGAACAGAAGGCUAAAAGAGUCUUUCAAAGUUUUAGAGUGCAUCUGAAACUAUGAUUCAAGAAAGGUCUUUUGUAAAGAGAAAAGAAUCUCAACCAAACAGGUACUUCUUUCUGGACAGCCAGAAGUUUCUGAUUAAAAGCUGCGUUUAAGAGACACUAAACAUAACCUUGAAGAGGAGUACAACCACUAUCUGACAACAUGACACAGCAUGUGGAUUUUUUAAUACAGUAUAUCAUGUCGAUGAUGAUAAUAAUAAUAAAAGUGUAGAUGAUUUUGAGUCCUUUUGCA
rnacentral:lncRNA from 1 species